rnacentral:rRNA from 1 species
CCUACGGGUGGCAGCAGUGAGGGAUAUUGGUCAAUGGGGGAAAUCCUGAACCAGCAACGCCGCGUGAGGGAAGACGGUUUUCGGAUUGUAAACCUCUGUCCUCUGUGAAGCUAAUGACGGUAGCAGAGGAGGAAGCUCCGUCUAACUACGUGCCAGCAGCCGCGGUAAUACGUAGGAAGCAAGCGUAGUCCGGAUUUACUGGGUGUAAUGGGUGCGUAGGCGGCUUUGCAAGUCAGAAGUGAAAUGCAUGGGCUUAACCCAUGAACUGCUUUUGAUACUGUAGAGCUUGAGAGGAGUAGAGGUAGGCGGAAUGCCCGGUGUAGCGGUGAAAUGCGUAGAGAUC